AGUGAACGCUGGCGGUAGGCCUAACACAUGCAAGUCGAACGGCAGCACAGUAAGAGCUUGCUCUUACGGGUGGCGAGUGGCGGACGGGUGAGGAAUACAUCGGAAUCUACUUUUUCGUGGGGGAUAACGUAGGGAAACUUACGCUAAUACCGCAGACGACCUACGGGUGAAAGCAGGGGAUCUUCGGACCUUGCGCGAUUGAAUGAGCCGAUGUCGGAUUAGCUAGUUGGCGGGGUAAAGGCCCACCAAGGCGACGAUCCGUAGCUGGUCUGAGAGGAUGAUCAGCCACACUGGAACUGAGACACGGUCCAGACUCCUACGGGAGGCAGCAGUGGGGAAUAUUGGACAAUGGGCGCAAGCCUGAUCCAGCCAUACCGCGUGGGUGAAGAAGGCCUUCGGGUUGUAAAGCCCUUUUGUUGGGAAAGAAAAGCAGCAGGUUAAUACCCCGCUGUUCUGACGGUACCCAAAGAAUAAGCACCGGCUAACUUCGUG
rnacentral:rRNA from 1 species